rnacentral:rRNA from 1 species
UACGGGGGGGGCAAGCGUUGUUCGGAAUUACUGGGCGUAACGGGCUCGUAGGCGGCCAACUAAGUCGGACGUGAAAUCCCUCGGCUUAACCGGGGAACUGCGUCCGAUACUGGAUGGCUUGAGUUCGGGAGAGGGAUGCGGAAUUCCAGGUGUAGCGGUGAAAUGCGUAGAUAUCUGGAGGAACACCGGUGGCGAAGGCGGCAUCCUGGACCGACACUGACGCUGAGGAGCGAAAGCCAGGGGAGCAAACGGG